rnacentral:rRNA from 1 species
AGGCAGCAGAAGGAAAGGCAAGGACGCAAGCGAACCAGCCAGCCGCGGAAGGAAAGGCCCGGAGAAUCCAAGGGACGAAAAAAGGACACGCCGCGACGGACCAAGAAAAGCACCGGCAACCC